GAUGAACGCUAGCGGCAGGCUUAAUACAUGCAAGUCGAGGGGCAGCAGUUUUGUAGCAAUACAGAAGCUGGCGACCGGCAAACGGGUGCGGAACACGUACGCAACCUUCCUUUAACUGGGAGAUAGCCCACCGAAAGGUGGAUUAAUAUCCCAUAAUAUAACUGAAUGGCAUCAUUUAGCUAUUAAAGCUCCGGCGGCUAAAGCUGGGCGUGCGUCUGAUUAGGUAGUUGGCGGGGUAACGGCCCACCAAGCCUUCGAUCAGUAGCUGAUGUGAGAGCAUGAUCAGCCACACGGGCACUGAGACACGGGCCCGACUCCUACGGGAGGCAGCAGUAAGGAAUAUUGGUCAAUGGACGCAAGUCUGAACCAGCCAUGCCGCGUGGAGGAUGAAGGCCCUCUGGGUUGUAAACUUCUUUUCUUUGGGACGAAACCCCUGUUUCUACGGGGACUGACGGUACCAGAGGAAUAAGCACCGGCUAACUCCGUGCCAGCCGCCGCGGUAAGAC
rnacentral:rRNA from 1 species